UACGAAGGGGGCUAGCGUUGCUCGGAAUUACUGGGCGUAAAGCGCACGUAGGCGGUCUUUUAAGUCGGGGGUGAAAUCCUGGAGCUCAACUCCAGAACUGCCUUCGAUACUGGAAGACUUGAGUCCGGGAGAGGUGAGUGGAACUGCGAGUGUAGAGGUGAAAUUCGUAGAUAUUCGCAAGAACACCAGUGGCGAAGGCGGCUUACUGGUCCGGAUCUGACGCUGAGGCGCGAAAGCGUGGGGAGCAAACAGG
rnacentral:rRNA from 1 species